UACGUAGGGCGCAAGCGUUAUCCGGAAUUAUUGGGCGUAAAGAGCUCGUAGGCGGUCUGUCGCGUCGGAUGUGAAAAUCAGGGCUCAACCCUGGACCUGCAUUCGAUACGGGCAGACUAGAGUUCGGUAGGGGAGACGUGGAAUUCCUGGUGUAGCGGUGAAAUGCGCAGAUAUCAGGAGGAACACCGGUGGCGAAGGCGGGUCUCUGGGCCGAAACUGACGCUGAGGAGCGAAAGCGUGGGGAGCAAACAGG
rnacentral:rRNA from 1 species